UACGUAGGAGGCGAGCGUUGUCCGGAUUUACUGGGCGUAAAGCGCGCGCAGGUGGCAGUGCAAGUAUGGGGUGAAAUCUCCCUGCUCAACGGGGAGGGUGCCUUGUAGACUGCACAGCUAGAGGGCGGUAGAGGGGUGUGGAAUUGCUGGUGUAGCGGUGAAAUGCGUAGAGAUCAGCAGGAACACCCGUGGCGAAGGCGGCACCCUGGGCCGCACCUGACGCUGAGGCGCGAAGGCUGGGGGAGCGAACGGGAUUAGAAACCCCCGUAGUCC
rnacentral:rRNA from 1 species